rnacentral:rRNA from 1 species
AUGGCGUGGGGGCCGUGGCCGGUAGCCGCCGGGAGCCACGGAUGCGCGUGGAGGCACAGGAGCCGAACACCGGAUCCUGGCUCGCCGCGUCGGCCUCUGGGGCCGAGGGGCGCCGUUCACCACGCGCAGGCCGGAGAGCAUCGCAGCACCGACGGCGUGCCGCUGCCUCCUGUCCCAGAGCGGGGCUGCAACGAGGAGAAGGCCGCGCGCGUGCCGGAGGGCGUCGCUGUGGAGGGCUGGCCGUGGCCUUGGUGCCGCAUCGACGGACAGAGGUUCGACUGCGUCGCCGGCGAUUCGUUGCGAUGCGCGAGUGCAUCCGCCGCCGUUCUUCCGCUGUGGCCUAUUUCUCUAAUCGAGAGCAGAGUGCGUGAUAACGUGUAA